rnacentral:misc_RNA from 1 species
CCGCAGCCGCUGCGCGCACCGCAUCCGCGUGUGCUGAUCGUGGCGCCGAUGUCAGGACACUACGCGACACUGUUGCGCGGGACAGUCGAAGCCUUUCUGCCGGGGCAUGACGUCUACAUCACCGACUGGGCCGACGCCCGCAUGGUGCCGAUGGCGCAGGGCCGCUUCGAUCUUGAUGACUAUGUCGAUUAUGUCAUCGAGAUGAUCCACGCGCUGAAGGGCGACGUGCACGUUGUCGCUGUGUGCCAGCCAUCCGUGCCUGUAUUGGCUGCGGUGUCCAUCAUGGAAGCCGAGAAGGAUCCCU